AAGUCGUAACAAGGUUUCCGUAGGUGAACCUGCGGAAGGAUCAUUACCAAAUUAUUAAUGUGUAGUGGAAUUUGUAGGAGUCUUGUAACCAAGCUCCUAUGAAAUGGGGUAGGAAACGGUCACGUUUCCUAUUCCUAAGAAAAACAACAACUACGAUUCAAUCACAAAUACAUACAACUUUUAACAAUGGAUCUCUAGGCUCUU
rnacentral:misc_RNA from 1 species